rnacentral:tRNA from 1 species
ACGUCUUUAGUUCAGUUGGUAGAACGUAGGUUUCCAAAAUCUAAUGUCGUGGGUUCAAUUCCUACAAGACGUG